UUAAGCGACUAAGCGUACACGGUGGAUGCCCUGGCAGUCAGAGGCGAUGAAGGACGUGCUAAUCUGCGAUAAGCGUCGGUAAGGUGAUAUGAACCGUUAUAACCGGCGAUUUCCGAAUGGGGAAACCCAGUGUGAUUCGUCACACUAUCAUUAACUGAAUCCAUAGGUUAAUGAGGCGAACCGGGGGAACUGAAACAUCUAAGUACCCCGAGGAAAAGAAAUCAACCGAGAUUCCCCCAGUAGCGGCGAGCGAACGGGGAGCAGCCCAGAGCCUGAAUCAGUGUGUGUGUUAGUGGAAGCGUCUGGAAAGGCGCGCGAUACAGGGUGACAGCCCCGUACACAAAAAUGCACAUGCUGUGAGCUCGAUGAGUAGGGCGGGACACGUGGUAUCCUGUCUGAAUAUGGGGGGACCAUCCUCCAAGGCUAAAUACUCCUGACUGACCGAUAGUGAACCAGUACCGUGAGGGAAAGGCGAAAAGAACCCCGGCGAGGGGAGUGAAAAAGAACCUGAAACCGUGUACGUACAAGCAGUGGGAGCACGCUUCGGCGUGUGACUGCGUACCUUUUGUAUAAUGGGUCAGCGACUUAUAUUCUGUAGCAAGGUUAACCGAAUAGGGGAGCCGAAGGGAAACCGAGUCUUAACUGGGCGUUAAGUUGCAGGGUAUAGACCCGAAACCCGGUGAUCUAGCCAUGGGCAGGUUGAAGGUUGGGUAACACUAACUGGAGGACCGAACCGACUAAUGUUGAAAAAUUAGCGGAUGACUUGUGGCUGGGGGUGAAAGGCCAAUCAAACCGGGAGAUAGCUGGUUCUCCCCGAAAGCUAUUUAGGUAGCGCCUCGUGAAUUCAUCUCCGGGGGUAGAGCACUGUUUCGGCAAGGGGGUCAUCCCGACUUACCAACCCGAUGCAAACUGCGAAUACCGGAGAAUGUUAUCACGGGAGACACACGGCGGGUGCUAACGUCCGUCGUGAAGAGGGAAACAACCCAGACCGCCAGCUAAGGUCCCAAAGUCAUGGUUAAGUGGGAAACGAUGUGGGAAGGCCCAGACAGCCAGGAUGUUGGCUUAGAAGCAGCCAUCAUUUAAAGAAAGCGUAAUAGCUCACUGGUCGAGUCGGCCUGCGCGGAAGAUGUAACGGGGCUAAACCAUGCACCGAAGCUGCGGCAGCGACACUAUGUGUUGUUGGGUAGGGGAGCGUUCUGUAAGCCUGUGAAGGUGUACUGUGAGGUAUGCUGGAGGUAUCAGAAGUGCGAAUGCUGACAUAAGUAACGAUAAAGCGGGUGAAAAGCCCGCUCGCCGGAAGACCAAGGGUUCCUGUCCAACGUUAAUCGGGGCAGGGUGAGUCGACCCCUAAGGCGAGGCCGAAAGGCGUAGUCGAUGGGAAACAGGUUAAUAUUCCUGUACUUGGUGUUACUGCGAAGGGGGGACGGAGAAGGCUAUGUUGGCCGGGCGACGGUUGUCCCGGUUUAAGCGUGUAGGCUGGUUUUCCAGGCAAAUCCGGAAAAUCAAGGCUGAGGCGUGAUGACGAGGCACUACGGUGCUGAAGCAACAAAUGCCCUGCUUCCAGGAAAAGCCUCUAAGCAUCAGGUAACAUCAAAUCGUACCCCAAACCGACACAGGUGGUCAGGUAGAGAAUACCAAGGCGCUUGAGAGAACUCGGGUGAAGGAACUAGGCAAAAUGGUGCCGUAACUUCGGGAGAAGGCACGCUGAUAUGUAGGUGAAGUGCCUUGCUGGUGGAGCUGAAAUCAGUCGAAGAUACCAGCUGGCUGCAACUGUUUAUUAAAAACACAGCACUGUGCAAACACGAAAGUGGACGUAUACGGUGUGACGCCUGCCCGGUGCCGGAAGGUUAAUUGAUGGGGUUAGCGGUAACGCGAAGCUCUUGAUCGAAGCCCCGGUAAACGGCGGCCGUAACUAUAACGGUCCUAAGGUAGCGAAAUUCCUUGUCGGGUAAGUUCCGACCUGCACGAAUGGCGUAAUGAUGGCCAGGCUGUCUCCACCCGAGACUCAGUGAAAUUGAACUCGCUGUGAAGAUGCAGUGUACCCGCGGCAAGACGGAAAGACCCCGUGAACCUUUACUAUAGCUUGACACUGAACAUUGAGCCUUGAUGUGUAGGAUAGGUGGGAGGCUUUGAAGUGUGGACGCCAGUCUGCAUGGAGCCGACCUUGAAAUACCACCCUUUAAUGUUUGAUGUUCUAACGUUGACCCGUGAUCCGGGUUGCGGACAGUGUCUGGUGGGUAGUUUGACUGGGGCGGUCUCCUCCUAAAGAGUAACGGAGGAGCACGAAGGUUGGCUAAUCCUGGUCGGACAUCAGGAGGUUAGUGCAAUGGCAUAAGCCAGCUUGACUGCGAGCGUGACGGCGCGAGCAGGUGCGAAAGCAGGUCAUAGUGAUCCGGUGGUUCUGAAUGGAAGGGCCAUCGCUCAACGGAUAAAAGGUACUCCGGGGAUAACAGGCUGAUACCGCCCAAGAGUUCAUAUCGACGGCGGUGUUUGGCACCUCGAUGUCGGCUCAUCACAUCCUGGGGCUGAAGUAGGUCCCAAGGGUAUGGCUGUUCGCCAUUUAAAGUGGUACGCGAGCUGGGUUUAGAACGUCGUGAGACAGUUCGGUCCCUAUCUGCCGUGGGCGCUGGAGAACUGAGGGGGGCUGCUCCUAGUACGAGAGGACCGGAGUGGACGCAUCACUGGUGUUCGGGUUGUCAUGCCAAUGGCACUGCCCGGUAGCUAAAUGCGGAAGAGAUAAGUGCUGAAAGCAUCUAAGCACGAAACUUGCCCCGAGAUGAGUUCUCCCUGACUCCUUGAGAGUCCUGAAGGAACGUUGAAGACGACGACGUUGAUAGGCCGGGUGUGUAAGCGCAGCGAUGCGUUGAGCUAACCGGUACUAAUGAACCGUGAGGCUUAACCUU
rnacentral:rRNA from 1 species